rnacentral:misc_RNA from 1 species
GGAAGUAAAAGUUGUAACAAGGUCUCCGUUGGUGAACCAGCGGAGGGAUCAUUACAGAGGUUUCACAACUCCCAACCCUUGCGAACCGUACCCAUUCUGUUCUCGUUGCUUCCGGCGGGGGGGACGGGGGGGCCCGAAACGGCCUCCCCGCCCCGCCCGCCGGGGGCGGCGGGCCCUACGAACCUUUAUAUCUCAACCACCAGAAACCGUCUGAGGAAACAAACAAAAUAAUCAAAACUUUCAACAACGGAUCUCUUGGCUCUG